GGAGAAACGAGGGAGCUUACUUCAGUCCACUCCAAGGCAGUGUAGAAGUUAAGGAACUCAGCUGCCGACUCGUUGGUUCGUAAACUCAUUCAUACUUAGUGGAGAUUCCGAUCAAUGGGUUAUCGAUCCAACGAUGCGGGAGCUGUGUUCAGGUUCUCCUGUCUCGUCUUGGACUGAAGGGAGCUCCCUCUACUCCAUUC
rnacentral:pre_miRNA from 1 species